UGCAGUCGANCGAUGAUCUCCCGCUUGCGGGGGUGAUUAGUGGCGAACGGGUGAGUAAUACGUGAGUAACCUGCCCUUGACUCUGGGAUAAGCCUGGGAAACCGGGUCUAAUACUGGAUACGACUCCUCAUCGCAUGGUGGGGGGUGGAAAGGGUUUGACUGGUUUUGGAUGGGCUCACGGCCUAUCAGCUUGUUGGUGGGGUAAUGGCUCACCAAGGCGACGACGGGUAGCCGGCCUGAGAGGGUGACCGGCCACACUGGGACUGAGACACGGCCCAGACUCCUACGGGAGGCAGCAGUGGGGAAUAUUGCACAAUGGGCGCAAGCCUGAUGCAGCGACGCCGCGUGAGGGAUGACGGCCUUCGGGUUGUAAACCUCUUUCAGCAGGGAAGAAGCCACAAGUGACGGUACCUGCAGAAGAAGCGCCGGCUAACUACGUGCCAGCAGCCGCGGUAAUACGUAGGGCGCAAGCGUUGUCCGGAAUUAUUGGGCGUAAAGAGCUCGUAGGCGGUUUGUCGCGUCUGCUGUGAAAGCCCGGGGCUCAACCCCGGGUCUGCAGUGGGUACGGGCAGACUAGAGUGCAGUAGGGGAGACUGGAAUUCCUGGUGUAGCGGUGAAAUGCGCAGAUAUCAGGANGAACACCGAUGGCGAANGCAGGUCUCUGGGCUGUUACUGACGCUGAGGAGCGAAAGCAUGGGGAGCGAACAGGANUAGAUACCCUGGUAGUCCAUGCCGUAAACGUUGGGCACUAGGUGUGGGGGACAUUCCACGUUCUCCGCGCCGUANCUAACGCAUUAAGUGCCCCGCCUGGGAGUACGGCCGCNAGGCUAAAACUCAAANGAANUGACGGGGGCCCGCNCAAGCNG
rnacentral:rRNA from 1 species